AGCUUUGCGCAGUGGCAAUAUCGUAGCCAGUGAGGUUUAUCCGAGGCGCGAUUAUUACUAAUUGAAAACUUUUCCCAAUACCCCGCCUUGACAACUUGAAAUAUAGUCGGCAUUGGAAUUUUUGACAGUCUCUACAGAGA
rnacentral:snRNA from 1 species